GACGAACGCUGGCGGCGUGCUUAACACAUGCCAGUCGAACGGAAAGGCCCUGCUUUUGUGGGGUGCUCGAGUGGCGAACGGGUGAGUAACACGUGAGUAACCUGCCCUUGACUUUGGGAUAACUUCAGGAAACUGGGGCUAAUCCCGGCUAGGAGCUCCUGCUGCAUGGUGGGGGUUGGAAGGUUUCGGCGGUUGGGGAUGGACUCGCGGCUUAUCAGCUUGUUGGUGGGGUAGUGGCUUACCAAGGCUUUGACGGGUAGCCGGCCUGAGAGGGUGACCGGCCACAUUGGGACUGAGAUACGGCCCAGACUCCUACGGGAGGCAGCAGUGGGGAAUAUUGCACAAUGGGCGGAAGCCUGAUGCAGCAACGCCGCGUGCGGGAUGACGGCCUUCGGGUUGUAAACCGCUUUCGCCUGUGACGAAGCGUGAGUGACGGUAAUGGGUAAAGAAGCACCGGCUAACUACGUG
rnacentral:rRNA from 1 species